rnacentral:rRNA from 1 species
GACGAACGCUGGCGGCGUGCUUAACACAUGCAAGUCGAACGGAAAGGCCCUGCUUUUGUGGGGUGCUCGAGUGGCGAACGGGUGAGUAACACGUGAGUAACCUGCCCUUGACUUUGGGAUAACUUCAGGAAACUGGGGCUAAUACCGGAUAGGAGCUCCUGCUGCAUGGUGGGGGUUGGAAAGUUUCGGCGGUUGGGGAUGGACUCGCGGCUUAUCAGCUUGUUGGUGGGGUAGUGGCUUACCAAGGCUUUGACGGGUAGCCGGCCUGAGAGGGUGACCGGCCACAUGGGGACUGAGAUACGGACCAGUAUCCUACGGGAGGCAGCAGUGGGGAAUAUUGCACAAUGGGCGGAAGCCUGAUGCAGCAACGCCGCGUGCGGGAUGACGGCCUUCGGGUUGUAAACCGCUUUCGCCUGUGACGAAGCGUGAGUGACGGUAAUGGGUAAAGAAGCACCGGCUAACUACGUG